UUGAUAUUUGGUGACAUAUUCAAGGUUAAGCCAUAUGCUUCCGUUUUUAAGAAGGCCAUCAGAAUCCAUUCUUACAUUAGUCAAAGGCCAUUGUUGUUAAACUUGAUGAGAAAAUUCACCAGAGAAAGAAAUUUGGUGAAACCGGCCAAGACAAGAUUUGCAACGGCAUUCUUAACUUUGAGAGCUAUGUACAUUCAAAGAAAAAACUUGAAAACUUUAGUCCUCUCAACCGAAUGGAAUUCAAGCAAAUUU